CCAGACGGCCGGGCGGUCGCGGCGGGAGCUUGCUCUCGUCGAGGAAAGUCCGGGCUCCACGGUGAAAAGGCGGCGGGUAACGCCCGCCCGGGGUGACCCGAGGGAUAGCGCCACAGAAAGCAAACCGCCUGGGCUUCGGCUCAGGGAAGGGUGAAAGGGUGGGGUAAGAGCCCACCGCGUCGGCGGCAACGUCGACGGCAUGGCAAGCCCCGCCUGGAGCAAGACCAAAUAGGGACGUCGCGCGGCCUCGGCCGCAGGGCUCACCGCCCCAGGCGUCCGGGUAGGUCGCGAGAGCCGUCCAGCAAUGGGCGGCCCAGAGGAAUGAUCGUCGCCGCUCCCAUGCUUCGGCAUCGGGGGCGGAACAGAACCCGGCUUACAGGCCGUCUGGCGUU
rnacentral:RNase_P_RNA from 1 species